AUUGAACGCUGGCGGCAUGCCUUACACAUGCAAGUCGAACGGCAGCACGGGUGCUUGCUCCUGGUGGCGAGUGGCGAACGGGUGAGUAAUACAUCGGAACAUGUCCUGUAGUGGGGGAUAGCCCGGGGAAAGCCGGAUUAAUACCGCAUACGAUCUACGGAUGAAAGCGGGGGACCUGCGGGCCUCGCGCUAUAGGGUUGGCCGAUGGCUGAUUAGCUAGUUGGUGGGGUAAAGGCCUACCAAGGCGACGAUCAGUAGAUGGUCUGAGAGGACGACCAGCCACACUGGGACUGAGACACGGCCCAGACUCCUACGGGAGGCAGCAGUGGGGAAUUUUGGACAAUGGGCGAAAGCCUGAUCCAGCAAUGCCGCGUGUGUGAAGAAGGCCUUCGGGUUGUAAAGCACUUUUGUCCGGAAAGAAAUCCUUGGCUCUAAUACAGUCGGGGGAUGACGGUACCGGAAGAAUAAGCACCGGCUAACUACGUG
rnacentral:rRNA from 1 species